CACGGAGUUAGCCGGUGCUUAUUCGUAUAGUACCUUCAGCUACCCUCACGAGGGUAGGUUUAUCCCUAUACAAAAGAAGUUUACAACCCAUAGGGCAGUCGUCCUUCACGCGGGAUGGCUGGUUCAGGCUUGCACCCAUUGACCAAUAUUCCUCACUGCUGCCUCCCGUAGGAGUCUGGUCCGUGUCUCAGUACCAGUGUGGGGGAUCACCCUCUCAGGCCCCCUAAAGAUCAUCGCCUUGGUGAGCCGUUACCUCACCAACUAGCUAAUCUUGCGCGUGCCCAUCUCUAUCCGCCGGAGCUUUCAAUAUUAAACGAUGCCGUUCAAUAUAUUAUGGAGUAUUAAUCUUCCUUUCGAAAGGCUAUCCCCCAGAUAAAGGCAGGUUGCACACGUGUUCCGCACCCGUACGCCGCUCUCUCAUUUCCGAAGAAACAAUACCGCUCGGCUUGCAUGUGUUAGGCCUCCCGCUAGCGUUCAUCCUGAGCCAGGAUCAAACUCU
rnacentral:rRNA from 1 species